rnacentral:rRNA from 1 species
GACGAACGCUGGCGGCGUGCCUAAUACAUGCAAGUAGAACGCUGAAGGAGGAGCUUGCUUCUCUGGAUGAGUUGCGAACGGGUGAGUAACGCGUAGGUAACCUGCCCGGUAGCGGGGGAUAACUAUUGGAAACGAUAGCUAAUACCGCAUAAUAGCAGUUGUUGCAUGACAACUGUUUGAAAGGUGCAAUUGCACCACUACCAGAUGGACCUGCGUUGUAUUAGCUAGUUGGUGGGGUAACGGCUCACCAAGGCGACGAUACAUAGCCGACCUGAGAGGGUGAUCGGCCACACUGGGACUGAGACACGGCCCAGACUCCUACGGGAGGCAGCAGUAGGGAAUCUUCGGCAAUGGACGGAAGUCUGACCGAGCAACGCCGCGUGAGUGAAGAAGGUUUUCGGAUCGUAAAGCUCUGUUGUAAGAGAAGAACGAGUGUGAGAGUGGAAAGUUCACACUGUGACGGUAUCUUACCAGAAAGGGACGGCUAACUACGC